rnacentral:rRNA from 1 species
CUUACCAUGCAGUCGAACGAUGAUGCCCAGCUUGCUGGGCGGAUUAGUGGCGAACGGGUGAGUAAUACGUGAGUAACCUGCCCUUGACUCUGGGAUAAGCCUGGGAAACUGGGUCUAAUACUGGAUACUACUUCCUGCCGCAUGGUGGGUGGUGGAAAGGGUUUUACUGGUUUUGGAUGGGCUCACGGCCUAUCAGCUUGUUGGUGGGGUAAUGGCUCACCAAGGCGACGACGGGUAGCCGGCCUGAGAGGGUGACCGGCCACACUGGGACUGAGACACGGCCCAGACUCCUACGGGAGGCAGCAGUGGGGAAUAUUGCACAAUGGGCGGAAGCCUGAUGCAGCGACGCCGCGUGAGGGAUGACGGCCUUCGGGUUGUAAACCUCUUUCAGUAGGGAAGAAGCGAGAGUGACGGUACCUGCAGAAGAAGCGCCGGCUAACUACGUGCCAGCAGCCGCGGUAAUACGUAGGGCGCAAGCGUUGUCCGGAAUUAUUGGGCGUAAAGAGCUCGUAGGCGGUUUGUCGCGUCUGCUGUGAAAGCCCGGGGCUCAACCCCGGGUCUGCAGUGGGUACGGGCAGACUAGAGUGCAGUAGGGGAGACUGGAAUUCCUGGUGUAGCGGUGAAAUGCGCAGAUAUCAGGAGGAACACCGAUGGCGAAGGCAGGUCUCUGGGCUGUUACUGACGCUGAGGAGCGAAAGCAUGGGGAGCGAACAGGAUUAGAUACCCUGGUAGUCCAUGCCGUAAACGUUGGGCACUAGGUGUGGGGGACAUUCCACGUUUUCCGCGCCGUAGCUAACGCAUUAAGUGCCCCGCCUGGGGAGUACGGCCGCAAGGCUAAAACUCAAAGGAAUUGACGGGGGCCCGCACAAGCGGCGGAGCAUGCGGAUUAAUUCGAUGCAACGCGAAGAACCUUACCAAGGCUUGACAUUCACCGGACCGCCUCAGAGAUGGGGUUUCCCUUCGGGGCUGGUGGACAGGUGGUGCAUGGUUGUCGUCAGCUCGUGUCGUGAGAUGUUGGGUUAAGUCCCGCAACGAGCGCAACCCUCGUUCUAUGUUGCCAGCACGUGAUGGUGGGGACUCAUAGGAGACUGCCGGGGUCAACUCGGAGGAAGGUGGGGAUGACGUCAAAUCAUCAUGCCCCUUAUGUCUUGGGCUUCACGCAUGCUACAAUGGCCGGUACAAAGGGUUGCGAUACUGUGAGGUGGAGCUAAUCCCAAAAAGCCGGUCUCAGUUCGGAUUGAGGUCUGCAACUCGACCUCAUGAAGUCGGAGUCGCUAGUAAUCGCAGAUCAGCAACGCUGCGGUGAAUACGUUCCCGGGCCUUGUACACACCGCCCGUCAAGUCACGAAAGUUGGUAACACCCGAAGCCGGUGGCCUAACCCCUUGUGGAUCAGAGCCGUCGAAC